GGCUUCGUGGCCUAGUGGUAAGGACACUUGCCUCUCACCUAGGAGUCACGGAUUCGAUCCCCGGUCAAGGGGCUA